rnacentral:rRNA from 1 species
GUACGGGAGGCAGCAGUGGGGAAUUUUGGACAAUGGGCGAAAGCCUGAUCCAGCCAUACCGCGUGCGGGAAGAAGGCCUUCGGGUUGUAAACCGCUUUUGUCAGGGAAGAAAUCUUCUGGGUUAAUACCUCGGGAGGAUGACGGUACCUGAAGAAUAAGCACCGGCUAACUACGUGCCAGCAGCCGCGGUAAUACGUAGGGUGCAAGCGUUAAUCGGAAUUACUGGGCGUAAAGCGUGCGCAGGCGGUUCUAUAAGACAGAUGUGAAAUCCCCGGGCUCAACCUGGGAACUGCAUUUGUGACUGUAGAGCUGGAGUACGGCAGAGGGGGAUGGAAUUCCGCGUGUAGCAGUGAAAUGCGUAGAUAUGCGGAGGAACACCGAUGGCGAAGGCAAUCCCCUGGGCCUGUACUGACGCUCAUGCACGAAAGCGUGGGGAGCAAACAGGAUUAGAUACCCGGGUAGUCC